ensembl:ncRNA lncRNA:CR44785 long non-coding RNA:CR44785
GUCAGCAUCGGCGACAACACAGCUCAGACCUGACCGGCUAAGGCGACGCCGUCGAAGGCGAGCUCUAGACGGCGCACACAUCGACCGUUGACACAGAAAUCAUAUUAAUAUAAAUUAACGAUGUGGAAAAUUUAGUUUAGUAGUGAAACCCAAAGAAAAAGCGGCAAUCAGCGACGCAAAGUCAGUUGUACGGCUCACGUCGCCGGCUCAUCAGUCAAAAUGUCCAGGCGAGAAAAUCCCAAAGCGACCCAUGCCGAUUCCCAUAUCCCAACCCCAAUCUCAAUCUCAGCAGCAGUGAGGGAUUGUUUUGUUCUUCAAUUAAUUGGACUUUAUAAUUUUAAUGCACUUUAUAAAGCACGUGAGACUCGGAAUUGGUGAUAAUAUUCGCAUCAUAUUCAUCGACAUAAUCAUAAUCCGAUUACAACUACGUCAUUCAGGAGAUGCAUACGGCGGGGUACCAACAUGUUGAAGUACCCCUACAAGCAAAGCAGAAAAAAAGAAGAGACUCUGCCCUUCGAGCGGAUUGAAUUUUACAAACUUAGAUUGAAAAUUAAUUAGUGAAAGUUUUUGCAAGGCGGUUGGUUGCCUUUGGCUACUAAUUUAAAAUAAUACAAUUAAUAAGAUUAUCAACAUUUUUUUCAUUCU